rnacentral:rRNA from 1 species
UACAGAGGGUGCAAGCGUUGUUCGGAAUUAUUGGGCGUAAAGGGUGCGUAGGCGGUGCGGUAAGUCUCUUGUGAAAUCUCCGGGCUCAACUCGGAGCCUGCAAGGGAAACCGCCGUGCUUGAGUAUGGGAGAGGUGAGUGGAAUUCCACGUGUAGCGGUGAAAUGCGUAGAGAUGUGGAGGAACACCAAUGGCGAAGGCAGCCUUCUGGGCCAACACUGACGCUCAUGCACGAAAGCGUGGGGAGCAAACAGG